rnacentral:lncRNA from 1 species
AUAAGUUAUAAAGUAUAGUUUAUUUUUUUAAUCCCUAUUGCUUUUUUUAUAAACUUGAUGAAACUUACCUUGAGAAAUAUGACCUCAACAUAUGGUCAUGCCAAAAACAAAUGUGUAGUCAUAAUUUACCUAAAUCUAUACUAACUAAUUUACAUUCCCACCAAUAGUGUAAAAGUGAAUGGCAAGUAUUAUUUCACCUACAUUCCCAUCCACUUCUUCCCUUCCCAUUUUAUUUUGAAGAAUAUCAUUUUUACGAUUAGCAUUGCUUUUUAUAAAGCAAAUCAUUGCCGUUUCAAC